UACGAGGGGUGCAAGCGUUGCUCGGAAUUAUUGGGCGUAAAGGGUAGGUAGGUGGUCUCAUUUGUCUGGGGUGAAAGCCUUGAGCUUAACUCAAGAAGUGCCCCAGAAACGGUGAGACUAGAGUCCUGGAGAGGGUCGUGGAAUUCCCGGUGUAGCGGUGAAAUGCGUAGAGAUCGGGAGGAACACCAGCGGCGAAGGCGGCGACCUGGACAGGUACUGACACUCAACUACGAAAGCGUGGGGAGCAAACAGG
rnacentral:rRNA from 1 species